GACGAACGCUGGCGGCGUGCUUAACACAUGCAAGUCGAACGAAGUGGCGAACGGGUGAGUAACGCGUAAUUAACCUGCCCUUCAGGGGGGGACAACAGUUGGAAACGACUGCUAAUACCGCAUACUGAAGGAGGGGAUUGCGUCGGAUUGGCUAGUUGGAGGGGUAAUGGCCCACCAAGGCGAUGAUCAGUAGCCGGGUUGAGAGGAUGAACGGCCACAUUGGGACUUGGACCAGGGCCAGAACCCUACGGGAGGCAGCAGUGGGGAAUCUUCCGCAAUGGACGAAAGUCUGACGGAGCAACGCCGCGUGAGUGAUGACGGCCCUCGGGUUGUAAAGCUCUGUUAAUCGGGACGCGGUACCGGAAGAGAAAGCCACGGCUAACUACGUGCCAGCAGCCGCGGUAAUAC
rnacentral:rRNA from 1 species